rnacentral:lncRNA from 1 species
GUCCCACCCCUUUCUGUGCUCUCCGAUACCGAUACCCACGCUGGGAAAGACUGGGGGCUCACGGAGAAGCUGGCGAGGAGGAGGAGAUGGUUGGAUGGCAUCCCAGACUGGUACACAGACUCAGUGUGUGCACUGUACAACCUCUGUGUGUACAGGUUGGGUGUACACACAGAGAAGUACAUUUGAGUUCUGUUUGCCUGCUUCUUGCUUUCAUCCUGUCCUCCUCUGGGAUGGAAGAACGCUAAAACUUCCUCUGCAGAGCCUGCGGCCAAGACCAGCAGGGCGGCUCCUUCUGUGCGCUCGGCCGCUCCUGGGAGGAUACGCAUUCUCCUGCAGGACAAGGCCUUGACGUCGUCCUGGUUGGUGUCCAGCUGCCUGGAAUGAAGACACGCACGCUUGAUGAACAGUCCACUGAUCCGCUUCAUCUUGUUUCUGCUGUGGGUUAUCCGUACGAGUGACAUAGUGAUGGCACACGGGGCUGCCUCCUCUCCCGAGAACUCGUAUUUAUGGUGUCAGCGCUGGAUGGGAUGCGGGCUCUCUUCUCUGGAAGACGGGCAGGAGGCAGAGGAGCUGCAAGUGUGGAAUUCUGUACAGUUGAGGCCGAAGCCAUCUAACUGCAGAUUUCUUCACAGUGACUGCAUUUUUAUCCCAGGUGGACCUCUCCUAAGUCCGUCUAAUUCUCCCACUGACAGCAAUCCAGAGCAGAGCAGACCCCAGUUCUGGAACUUCCUACACCUUCCCUGAACCCUGACGAGUCCAGGUGGCUCCCCCGCUCCCCUUGCACCUCUGUCCGUCAUUCUUCAUAUGAAGUCCUUCGAAAGGAGGGAACUAGAGACCGAGAAUCCCCCUCUGCCAGCUGCCUGACCACUGACGCACAGCCUAUAAUUUAUCAUAAAAGGUUACCAGGCUUCGCUGUCCCCUUGUAGUAUUAAUCAGAUUGUUUUGGCAGUUUGGGUUUCACCACCUAUAAAUAUUCAUUACAUUUGGAUUGCUUUAUUAACAGUAACAUUUCCUUCUGUUUUUAGAGAAAAAUUUGUAUCAUCUUACCUACUUUCUAGUCCCGGUUGUGGCGUGAAGUUAGUUGAUGUCUUAUCAGAACUGUGGGUCAUAUUCUCAGUGGUAGGAUGUGUCUUAGUGGUUCCUAGACACCUGUGCAAAUUCAUAGCCUUGGGAGCGAGCAGAUGCUCCCAGCUCUAGGCAAAUAUCCCCUGCAGAGGGACUGCAGUUAUCUUUAUGAAAAUAAUUUUUUAAAAUUAGGAAAUAUUUUGAGCAUUCUAAGAAAAUAGGCAAUAAUAGACAUGUGCCUAUAUACCCACCAUCUUUAUAAAAUCUUAACAGUGUAGAUGAAGUGAAGGGCCCCUGUGUUCCUCUCUGUGACCCCAACCCCUCCCUGCAUUCCAGAGGUAGCCCCCCAUAUGCAUUUAUUGUCUAUCAUUUCUAUACAUAUUUUUAUACUUUUACAACAUUUUAUGUGUCAUAUAUGUGUGCUAAGUUGCUUCAGUCCUGUCUGACUCUUUGUGACCCCGUGGACUGUAGCCAGCCAGGCUCCUCUGUCCUUGGGAUUCUCCAGGCAAGAAUACUGGAGUGGGCUGCCAUGCCUUCCUCCAGGGGGUCUUCCUGACCCAGGGAUCAAACCUGUGUCUCAUGUCUCCUGCAAUGGCAGGCAGGUUCUUUACCACUAGCGUCACCUGGGAAGCCCAUUUAUAUAUCAGUAAAUGUUAUCUAUAUUAAUGGCUUGCAGAUUUUAAAAAAUAAAUGGUAUCAUACUAUAUAGAUCUUUAUUUUU